rnacentral:rRNA from 1 species
AUUGAACGCUGGCGGCAGGCCUAACACAUGCAAGUCGAACGAGUGGCGGACGGGUGAGUAAUGUCUGGGAAACUGCCUGAUGGAGGGGGAUAACUACUGGAAACGGUAGCUAAUACCGCAUACCAUCGGAUGUGCCCAGAUGGGAUUAGCUAGUAGGUGGGGUAAAGGCUCACCUGGGCGACGAUCCCUAGCUGUGCUGAGAGGAUGACCAGCCACACGGGUACUGAGACACGGUCCAGACUCAGACGGGAGGCAGCAGUGGGUAAUAUUGCACAAGGGGCGCAAGCCUGAUGCAGCCAUGCCGCGUGUAUGAAGAAGGCCUUCGGGUGGUAAAGUACUUUCAGCGGGGAGGCGUUACCCGCAGAAGAAGCACCGGCUAACUCCGUGCCAGCCGCCGCGGUAAUUC